rnacentral:lncRNA from 10 species
AGGAAGAGUGACCUUUGCUGCUCUCUUUUCAGUGCAAUGGCUGGACCUGGUACCUUGCCAAUGACUUCCAGUUCCACCUCACCACACCAGUGAUUAUCUUCAUCCAUGUAAAGAGUACACAGAUCCUCAUCCUCCUUGGGGCCAUGCUGUUCUUGGCAUCUUUCACAGCCACUGCUCUGAUCACCUUGGCAUAUAAACUUCCUGUCGUGGCUCCAUCAGAAACCAGUGACACAAAUGAAAAUCAGAUUAUGUCAGUCAUCUGCUUGAAUUCCUCCAGUGGCCUCAUUGGUCACCCUCCUACCUGCUGACACUGGACCAGCCACACCAACUCAUCUCAACGCACCAAGCACGCUCCCCGAACCCCCUUCCCCACCCUCCCCAACCCGGGGCCUUAGCACUUGCUUUUGAGCCUGAAUUACUCUUCUGUUAAAAUCUAAGAUCUUGGCAGGGCUUUCUCCUUCACAUCUUUCAGGUGUCUGUGCAAAUGUCACCUUCUCAGAGCAGCCUUUGCCGAUCUUCCAAAAUAAAAUGGCCAGAACCGUU